ACAUUGUAUUGAUCACGUACACUUUGAAGAAAAAUAUUAAUUACCUCUCCAAUAAUAGAAGGACAAAUGAAGAUGAUGGUUCCCAUAAUUAAACAAAGGGGAGAAAAAAUACCUUUUACUUUCAAUAUCUACGGACAUGCGCAGAAGGAUUGUUGGAUUGCAAUCUUGGUCAGUUGCACUUCGACAGCGGUGCAGAACACUACUUUAAAAAUAAGAAAACUAUUUCUUGUUGCAAUGGUGAUUCCCAUAAUUAAAGGAGGGGAGAAAAAAUAUGUUUUACUUUCAAUAUCUAAGGACAUGCGCAGAGAGUUUGAAGGAUUGAAAUUUUGGUCAGUUGUACUUCGACAGCGGUGCAGAACACUACUUUAAAAAUAAGAAAACUAUUUCUUGUUGCAGUAAGUAAAAUAUAUUUAUCUUUAAAAUCAACAAAUAAUUAUAGUGUUUUUAAAAAAAAAGUGGAUUAGUUAGUGUUUUCGUAACAGUUUAAUAUAAGUGAUUAUAUAGAAAUAAAGAUCAAGGUAAAACAUGUUUCUUAGUUAGUUGAACAAACAUUUAAAAUAGUUUAGAUAAUAAUUGUUUGACAAAUACAAUUGAAGAUAA